rnacentral:misc_RNA from 1 species
UCGCCAGGACACAAAAGCUCCAAUCAGAUACAUAACUGAAGCACCGCAACAUAUCAUCAACUGAUGCAAUGUUGUGAAUCCUCCUCGUAUAUUCUUGGGUGUAAUCUCAGAUACGUAAAUAGGCACCUUUUCAUUAAUUGGAUGAAAACGAAUUAAUCCACAUUCUCCACACGUGAAUGAGUAAUCAAACGGGUUGCAAAAUCAAAAAGUUUACCACAUAAGCAAGAAGCCCAAUCCCAUAUCCUACCAACAGUCUUCCAACA